rnacentral:lncRNA from 1 species
ACCAAUGAACACUUAGGUCAAUUCCUUCUCUUGGCUAUUGUGAGUAAUGCUGCGAUGGAUAUGAGAAAGCAGACAUCCCUUCAACAUACUGACUUCCUUGGGUGUAUAUCCAGAAGUGAACUUGCGAGCAAUCAUAUGGUAGCUCUACUCUAAUUGUUGAGGAGACUUCAUAUUGCUUUCCGUCAUGGCUGUACUGAUCCACAUUCCCACCAACAGUCAUGGCUGCACUGAUCCACAUUCCCACCAACAGUCAUGGCUGCACUGAUCCACAUUCCCGCCAAUAGUGUGCAUAGAGGAUAGUCCACAUCCUCACCGGCCUUGUUUUCUUUCAUCUUUUUGACAAUUAGGUGUGAAGUGAUAUCUCAUUGUGGUUUUGACUUACAUUUCCUAGAUGGUUGGGGAUAUUAAGCGUUUUUUCAUAUACUCAUUGGCCUUUUGGAUGUCUUCUUUUGAGAAAUAUCUAUUCAGGUCCAUUACCUAUUUCUUAAUUGGGUUGUUUUCUUGAUAUUGAGUUGUUUGAAUUCCUUAUAUAUUUUGGCUAUUAACCCCUUAUCAAGUUCAUACAUAAUUCAAAAUUGCUUUCCAAACAGGUUGAACAAUCUGUGCUCCAGCACCACAGUGUAGGCAUGCCAUUUGCUAGUGGAGUGUUUUUCUUAUUAAUUUAUAGGAGCUCUUCUAUAUAUUUAGGAGUUCAACACUUUGCUUGCCAUAUUUAUGCUAAUAUUUUUUCAAAUUUUUUCUCUUUGCAUCAUUUUUACUCGAGGAGAUUUUUAUUUUAUGUAUUCAUACCUUCAUUGAUGGUUCCUUCCAUUAAUUUUAUGCCAACAAUUUCUUCCCAGAACUGAGAUCCAUUAAAUAUUGUCCUCUAAUAUAUAUUGUUUUACAUUUAUCUUAAAUUCACAGGCAAACUACCUUGGUAUAAAUUAGGGAAAAUCUAACCUGAUUCUUUUCCAGUGUCAUUCAGAAAAUAAUUCCCUUUUGCGGACUCCAAAGCAGAAUGUGACAUAAUCAGAUGUGUUUUUAAAUAGCUUGCUGGCUCCAGUGUGGUAGGAAAAAAAACAGCAAUCAUAAAAAACAACCAACAUUUAUUUAGUACUUACUGUGCACAGGCUGUGUUCUGAGUCCUUUGCAGACAUUCACUCAUUCAACCCUCAUAAUCACCCCAUAGGAAACAAAGGCUUACACUGGGGUUUAAGUAACUUGCCCAAGGUCAGAGCUAGAAGCGGCUGAACCAGGGAUGGGAUGGAACCAGGAAGGGGCCAUCAGAGUUAAGCAGAUAAGUCAACGCACCAGUCCAGAUGAGGUAGAGGGACUGGCCUAGACCAUGGCAGGGAAAGGAGAGGAGAUGGCAUACUGGUCAUGUAUUGAAGAUAUGAGUCUGGGAUUUGGUAGUCAACCACCCAUUGCGGGCCACGAGGACAAGGGAGAGCUCUAGAGCCCCAUCUCAGCAUGCAGCUGUUAAGUCCCUCAAAGACUUGCACUUUCCGUAAAACCAUCGCCUUCCUCUCCCUCACUGUUCCCAGCAUCCCCGGACUGCACAGGGUAGAAAAGCAGCAAGUUUGGACCACAAUCCCAAAUACCGAAAUCCCAAAAGAUCAAAAUCGCUAAAACCUCCAACAUCUAACAUCCCAAAAGUGGCAAUUACAGGACAAGUUUUUUGUUUGUGUUUCUUUUCUUUUUAAAGUUUUUUUUUUUCACUAUUUUAAAUUGUCAGCAUUUUCGUUCACAGUUCUGUACGCUGUGUAUUUCAUCUUUGCAUCAUUUCCAAUACUGGAGGUAUAAAUUCUAUAGGGACUUUUAUUUUAUUUUUAUUUAUUUAUUUAUUUUUGAGACAGGGUCUCUCUCUGUCAUUCAGGCUGGAGGGCAGUGGCACGGCCACUGCUCACUGCAGCCUCCACUGCCCGGGCUCAAUUGAGCCUCCCAAGGAGCCGAGACUACAGGCACACAUCACCACGCCCGGCUAAUUUUUGUAUUUUUUGUAGAGACAGGGUUUCGCCAUGUCACCCAGGCUUGUAGAGAUUUUUAGAGUUCUAAUUCUUUAUGCAUUUUUUGCAAAUCUGACUUCAUAAAAGUGAACUAUCACAAUGCUGCUUUGCAAGCUGUGUGUGUGUGUAAAAGCGUUGAAACUUCCUCAAUAAAUGAAAAGAUAUCUUUUUUGUACAUCUGCAUUUGUGAAAGACAACAUUUCUCCAGAUCUCUCUCAGCUCUUUGGGUGACUGCAUAUGUAUGUGGCGGGGACCCAUCGAGGUUGCUGAGCGAUC